GACGAACGCUGGCGGCGUGCCUAAUACAUGCAAGUCGAGCGGAGCGGCGGACGGGUGAGUAAUGCCUAGGAAUCUGCCUGGUAGUGGGGGAUAACGUCCGGAAACGGGCGCUAAUACCCAUACUAUCAGAUGAGCCUAGGUCGGAUUAGCUAGUUGGUGGGGUAAAGGCCUACCAAGGCGACGAUCCGUAACUGGUCUGAGAGGAUGAUCAGUCACACUGGAACGGAGACACGGUCCAGACUCCUACGGGAGGCAGCAGUGGGGAAUAUUGGACAAUGGGCGAAAGCCUGAGCGAGCCAUGCCGCGUGUGUGAAGAAGGUCUUCGGAUUGUAAAGCACUUUGAGGUGGGAGGCGUUAACAACAGAAGAAGCACCGGCUAACUUCGUGCCAGCAGCCGCGGUAAUUC
rnacentral:rRNA from 1 species